rnacentral:misc_RNA from 1 species
UACAGAGGCCUCGAGCGUUGUCCGGAAUUAUUGGGCGUAAAGCGCGCGCAGGCGGCCUCUUAAGUCUGAUGUGAAAGCCCCCGGCUCAACCGGGGAGGGCCAUUGGAAACUGGGGGACUUGAGUGCAGAAGAGGAAAGUGGAAUUCCAUGUGUAGCGGUGAAAUGCGUAGAGAUGUGGAGGAACACCAGUGGCGAAGGCGACUUUCUGGUCUGUAACUGACGCUGAGGCGCGAAAGCGUGGGGAGCAAACAGG